rnacentral:piRNA from 1 species
UCCAUUGUGAAUCGGUGACUCAGCCA